rnacentral:rRNA from 1 species
CCAAUAGCGUAUAUUGAAGUUGUUGCAGUUAAAAAGCUCGUAGUUGAAUUUCGGGAUCAAUAUAUUGGUCAUGCUUAGGUAUGUACUGGUAUUAUUGAUUUCUCCCUUCUGAAGAACCAUGAUGUCAUUAAUUUGAGGUCGUGGGGAAUCAGGACUGUUACUUUGAAAAAAUUAGAGUGUUUAAAGCAGGCUUUCGCUUGAAUACAUUAGCAUGGAAUAAUGAAAUAGGACGUUUGAUUCUAUUUUGUUGGUUUCUAGGAUCGACGUAAUGAUUAAUAGGGAUAGUUGGGGGCAUUAGUAUUCAAUUGUCAGAGGUGAAAUUCUUGGAUUUAUUGAAGACUAACUACUGCGAAAGCAUUUGCCAAGGAUGUUUUCAUUAAUCAAGAACGAAAGUUAGGGGAUCGAAGACGAUCAGAUACCGUCGUAGUCUUAACCAUAAACUAUGCCGACUAGGGAUCGGAUGAUGUUAAUUUUUUAAUGACUCAUUCGGCGCCUUACG